rnacentral:lncRNA from 12 species
AGCCAGAUGAGAAGGCAGCUGCCGGGCUUUGGGAGGCCUCAAGAGCUGCGAAACGCGAUUGAAUUUCACAGCGGUGAACAAUUCCAGUUGGAAUUGAGGCUCUGGGUCUGCUCUGCUCCUGUCCUGUCACUCCCUUCCACGUCCACACCUUGAGCAUUUCUGGUGCUUAAAGAGAGAAAUAAACUUGCAGAGAAAAAAGAGAGAAAUAAACUUUGUCUUUGCAGAGAAAAAGAGAGAAAUAAACUUUGUCUUUGCAGAGAAAUCUCCUUGCACAGGAAAAGGAGAGAAAGAAACUUUCUUGAUGAGGAAAAG